rnacentral:rRNA from 1 species
GACAGAGGGUGCAAACGUUGUUCGGAAUUACUGGGCGUAAAGCGCGUGUAGGCGGCUUGGCAAGUCGGGUGUGAAAGCCCCGGGCUCAACCUGGGAAGUGCACUCGAACUGACUUCGCUUGAGUACUGGAGAGGGUAGUGGAAUUCUCGGUGUAGAGGUGAAAUUCGAUAGAUAUCGAGAGGAACAUCGGUGGCGAAGGCGGCUACCUGGACAGUUACUGACGCUGAGACGCGAAAGCGUGGGGAGCAAACAG